rnacentral:rRNA from 1 species
UACGUAGGGUGCAAGCGUUGUCCGGAAUUAUUGGGCGUAAAGAGCUCGUAGGCGGUCUGUUGCGUCGGCUGUGAAAACCCGGGGCUCAACUCCGGGCCUGCAGCCGAUACGGGCAGACUAGAGUUCGGCAGGGGAGACUGGAAUUCCUGGUGUAGCGGUGAAAUGCGCAGAUAUCAGGAGGAACACCGGUGGCGAAGGCGGGUCUCUGGGCCA